UACGUAGGGCGCGAGCGUUGUCCGGAUUUAUUGGGCGUAAAGAGCUCGUAGGCGGCUUGUCGCGUCGACUGUGAAAACCCGCAGCUCAACUGUGGGCUUGCAGCCGAUACGGGCAGGCUAGAGUUCGGUAGGGGAGACUGGAAUUCCUGGUGUAGCGGUGAAAUGCGCAGAUAUCAGGAGGAACACCGGUGGCGAAGGCGGAUCUCUGGGCCUUACCUGACGCUCAGGCGCGAAAGCUAGGGGAGCGAACAGG
rnacentral:rRNA from 1 species